UACAGAGGGGGCAAGCGUUGUUCGGAAUUACUGGGCGUAAAGGGCGCGUAGGCGGCCUGUUAAGUCGAACGUGAAAUCCCCGGGCUCAACCCGGGAACUGCGUCCGAUACUGGCAGGCUUGAAUCCGGGAGAGGGAUGCGGAAUUCCAGGUGUAGCGGUGAAAUGCGUAGAUAUCUGGAGGAACACCGGUGGCGAAGGCGGCAUCCUGGACCGGCAUUGACGCUGAGGCGCGAAAGCUAGGGAGCAAACGGG
rnacentral:rRNA from 1 species